rnacentral:rRNA from 1 species
GACGAAUGCUGGCGGCGUGCUUAACACAUGCAAGUCGAACGGAAAGGCCCUGCUUGCAGGGUACUCGAGUGGCGAACGGGUGAGUAACACGUGGGUGAUCUGCCCUGCACUUCGGGAUAAGCCUGGGAAACUGGGUCUAAUACCGGAUAGGAGCCAUUUUUAGUGUGAUGGUUGGAAAGUUUUUUCGGUGUAGGAUGAGCUCGCGGCCUAUCAGCUUGUUGGUGGGGUAAUGGCCUACCAAGGCGGCGACGGGUAGCCGGCCUGAGAGGGUGGACGGCCACAUUGGGACUGAAAUACGGCCCAGACUCCUACGGGAGGCAGCAGUGGGGAAUAUUGCACAAUGGGCGCAAGCCUGAUGCAGCGACGCCGCGUGGGGGAUGACGGCCUUCGGGUUGUAAACUCCUUUCGCUAGGGACGAAGCUUUUGUGACGGUACCUAGAUAAGAAGCACCGGCUAACUACGUG